rnacentral:rRNA from 1 species
UGGGGAAUUUUGGACAAUGGGCGAAAGCCUGAUCCAGCAAUGCCGCGUGUGAAGAAGGCCUUCGGGUUGUAAAGCACUUUUGUCCGGAAAGAAAUCCUUGGCUCUAAUACAGUCGGGGGAUGACGGUACCGGAAGAAUAAGCACCGGCUAACUACGUGCCAGCAGCCGCGGUAAUACGUAGGGUGCAAGCGUUAAUCGGAAUUACUGGGCGUAAAGCGUGCGCAGGCGGUUUGCUAAGACCGAUGUGAAAUCCCCGGGCUCAACCUGGGAACUGCAUUGGUGACUGGCAGGCUAGAGUAUGGCAGAGGGGGGUAGAAUUCCACGUGUAGCAGUGAAAUGCGUAGAGAUGUGGAGGAAUACCGAUGGCGAAGGCAGCCCCCUGGGCCAAUACUGACGCUCAUGCACGAAAGCGUGGGGAGCAAAACAGGAUUAGAUACCCUGGUAGUCCACGCCCUAAACGAUGUCAACUAGUUGUUGGGAUUCAUUUCCUUAGUAACGUAGCUAACGCGUGAAGUUGACCGCCUGGGGAGUACGGUCGCAAGAUUAAAACUUAAAUGAAUUGACGGGG